GACGAACGCUGGCGGCGUGCUUAACACAUGCAAGUCGAACGGAAGGGCCCUGCUUUUGUGGGGUGCUCGAGUGGCGAACGGGUGAGUAACACGUGAGUAACCUGCCCUUGACUUUGGGAUAACUUCAGGAAACUGGGGCUAAUACCGGAUAGGAGCUCCUGCUGCAUGGUGGGGGUUGGAAAGUUUCGGCGGUUGGGGAUGGACUCGCGGCUUAUCAGCUUGUUGGUGGGGUAGUGGCUUACCAAGGAUUUGACGGGUAGCCGGCCUGAGAGGGUGACCGGCCACAUUGGGACUGAGAUACGGCCCAGACUCCUACGGGAGGCAGCAGUGGGGAAUAUUGCACAAUGGGCGGAAGCCUGAUGCAGCAACGCCGCGUGCGGGAUGACGGCCUUCGGGUUGUAAACCGCUUUCGCCUGUGACGAAGCGUGAGUGACGGUAAUGGGUAAAGAAGCACCGGCUAACUACGUG
rnacentral:rRNA from 1 species